rnacentral:rRNA from 1 species
AACGAACGCUGGCGGCAUGCCUAACACAUGCAAGUCGAACGAGACCUUCGGGUCUAGUGGCGCACGGGUGCGUAACGCGUGGGAACCUGCCCUUAGGUUCGGAAUAACUCCCCGAAAGGGGUGCUAAUACCGGAUAAUGUCUUCGGACCAAAGAUUUAUCGCCUUUGGAUGGGCCCGCGUUGGAUUAGCUAGUUGGUAGGUUAAAAGCCUACCAAGGCGACGAUCCAUAGCUGGUCUGAGAGGAUGAUCAGCCACACUGGGACUGAGACACGGCCCAGACUCCUACGGGAGGAAGCAGUGGGGAAUAUUGGACAAUGGGCGAAAGCCUGAUCCAGCAAUGCCGCGUGAGUGAUGAAGGCCUUAGGGUUGUAAAGCUCUUUUAACCGGGAUGAUAAUGACAGUACAGGGAGAAUAAGCUCCGGCUAACUCCGUG